rnacentral:rRNA from 1 species
UGGAUUAGUGGCGAACGGGUGAGUAACACGUGGGCAAUCUGCCCUUCACUCUGGGACAAGCCCUGGAAACGGGGUCUAAUACCGGAUAAUACCUGCCUGGGCAUCUGGGUGGGUUGAAAGCUCCGGCGGUGAAGGAUGAGCCCGCGGCCUAUCAGCUUGUUGGUGAGGUAGUGGCUCACCAAGGCGACGACGGGUAGCCGGCCUGAGAGGGCGACCGGCCACACUGGGACUGAGACACGGCCCAGACUCCUACGGGAGGCAGCAGUGGGGAAUAUUGCACAAUGGGCGAAAGCCUGAUGCAGCGACGCCGCGUGAGGGAUGACGGCCUUCGGGUUGUAAACCUCUUUCAGCAGGGAAGAAGCGAGAGUGACGGUACCUGCAGAAGAAGCGCCGGCUAACUACGUGCCAGCAGCCGCGGUAAUACGUAGGGCGCAAGCGUUGUCCGGAAUUAUUGGGCGUAAAGAGCUCGUAGGCGGCUUGUCACGUCGGGUGUGAAAGCCCGGGGCUUAACCCCGGGUCUGCAUUCGAUACGGGCUAGCUAGAGUGUGGUAGGGGAGAUCGGAAUUCCUGGUGUAGCGGUGAAAUGCGCAGAUAUCAGGAGGAACACCGGUGGCGAAGGCGGAUCUCUGGGCCAUUACUGACGCUGAGGAGCGAAAGCGUGGGGAGCGAACAGGAUUAGAUACCCU